CACAGUUGAUGCAGAGUCUGGUUUUAAUCCAUAAAGGGCAGAAAUCACCUAAGAUUCCUAAAUCACAAUGGAUAUGGAUUGAUACCUGACAUAUGACAUAUUGGCACAGAGCAGAAUAGGGACUGUUCCCCCUACAUAGGGUCACUUGGCAGAUAUGAAUUGACACCUGUCCUAAGGAUCCCUGAUACACACUGACACAGAGCAGAAUAGGGACUGUUUCCCCU